UCUACCAGUGCUUCUUAAUUAUUGAACUAACAUCAUACAGUAUUUGUUUCCCUGAAAGCAGGAAAAUUGCAGGAAAUCUCCAAGUGUGAUAAAUUCAAAUAGUGCUGCAGUGGCAGUCUGGAUCGGUGUGACAAUAUUGAAGACUGGUAGCUGCUCUGGAAACCUUCAUCCGAAGAUUUCAGACACGCGGCCGGGAGCCUUUAGGAACUUUUAAUCGCAGUGUGGAACAGUUUCUAUAAGCAUUCCCACGGCAUAGAAGACGUCGUGUCCCUCUCGCUUCUCUGCGUGUUAAUUAUUAAGAGUACAGUAAAAUAUUAAUCGUGCAGUUAAAAUGAAAAGAAAAUUGUUCU